GAUGAACGCUGGCGGCGUGCUUAACACAUGCAAGUCGAACGGAAAGGCUCCUGCUUGCAGGGGUACUCGAGUGGCGAACGGGUGAGUAACACGUGGGUGAUCUGCCCUGCACUUCGGGAUAAGCCCGGGAAACUGGGUCUAAUACCGGAUAGGACGAUGGUUUGGAUGCCAUUGUGGAAAGUUUUUCGGUGUGGGAUGAGCUCGCGGCCUAUCAGCUUGUUGGUGGGGUAAUGGCCUACCAAGGCGUCGACGGGUAGCCGGCCUGAGAGGGUGUACGGCCACAUUGGGACUGAGAUACGGCCCAGACUCCUACGGGAGGCAGCAGUGGGGAAUAUUGCACAAUGGGCGCAAGCCUGAUGCAGCGACGCCGCGUGGGGGAUGACGGCCUUCGGGUUGUAACUCCUUUCGCUAGGGACGAAGCGCAAGUGACGGUACCUGGAGAAGAAGCACCGGCUAACUACGUG
rnacentral:rRNA from 1 species